GGUCCUGAGCGUUCACCUGCAAGGCAGCCGCGGGGAAGCCGACAGUUCCACUGCCCUCCGGGGGGUGUGUGUGUGUUGAGGGGGUUUCCCCCGUGUGUGACAGGGAGCUCCCGCAGUGGUCUGAGCCGCCAUCCCGGGCUACCCGCUCUGGGAAUAGACGCGCUCGUUUCCAUUGAAAACGUUCGAGAAGUUACAAUUCAAGGUUAGCCUGAAUGUCGGCGUCUACCCAUGUACACUACAGGUGAAACCAGAUCGUCCUCUGUACUGGUUCUGUGGUUUGACACCGUCUGGAAGGACUGAAGCAAGGACUGUGCUAAGCAAGAAGCAUAUCAGGUGUCUGAGCUAAAUGUUUCAUGACUACAAAUAAUGUCAUAAAGAGACAUGGAAAUACUGGUAAGGCUUUUGUUGGUAUUCCAGGAACUAGAACUGAAAAGAAUUUAAAUUAGUUCCAUGCUAAUGGACCAGGGAUACACCUCCAGCAAGCCUGCCACCAUGCUCAUAUUACUACAGAGGUUGUGGAGCUGCAGAUACAAAAGUGUAUUCAUGAACAGUGGAUACUCAUAGUGUGGAUAUGGCAAACACUGGAUUCACAAUCAUGUAAACUUAGACGCAGCUUCAGUCUGUAGUUAAAUGUCUGCAAAGAGCUGAAAUUAUUUCUUGACGUGCUUCCCUCGGGCUCAGAAGAGCUCUUUACAGUGAUCUUUUGUGUAAAUCUUGAUGUGCUCUGAAAACAUGAUAGCUUCCUUUACACAAUUACAGUCUGCAGUGUAAAAGCCUGUCCUUACAAGCUUUAAAUACAACAUGUUAUCUACGGUUAACUUAGCUUAAGACACUUGGAGCUCCUGUUCAAAAAAUAUCUGAGUUCUGUAGAACUUUUUUACGUAUUUAUCAUCAUAACGUCUCUUUGACACUGUAACUCCAUUAUUUUUAUAAAUGGGAAACUGAGGCACUGGGAGACCAAGUGAUUAGAGUUGCACAAGUGAUCUCUGGUGGGGCAGAUGGUUGCAGCCAGCUCACUCUAAUCUCCAAAGCAUGCCCAGAUACUGACACUGUAUUUUUCUCCUUUUUAAACUCUUGUUUUCCUUAAUGACUCUGCAGCUGAAACGCUCUUUGAAUUCCAAGAUUUAUUCUCUAAAACAGCCACAGUCAGAUGCUUGAGGCCACGAGAAAAAGAAGGAACGUUGAGGAAGGCAUUCUUUUCUUCAAAAUGUAACCUCUGGACCUCUAAAAUCUUGGAUGAUGGAAGAAACGACUUGGUGACCAGUUUGUAUUAUGUCCUUUUGUACCGUAGCCAUGCUUGGUGGCAUCUUGCUCUCUUUUUCUGAAGACAUAUUCCAGGAAAGAAAGUUGUGCAAUCUCUGUGGAAACUAUUCCUCACACCACUCCCUAAUAAAUCUGCUUUAGCAGAUUUGGAUUCCUGUCCCUGUGUGCAACAAGUCUGUUGAGGUGCACCCUUGUGCAGUCAUUAUCAGCAUGCUUAAAGGAAAGGGGUAGGAAUCUGUUGUCUUCUUUCAUAAGCCAUGUCUUCAUCAAUAACCAUUUCCAUUUAUGUAAGGAGCUGGAUUCUGAGGUAGUACACACCAUGAGUGUUUCCAAGUAAAUACAAUUCCAACACCCAAAGCUUGAAAGGCCAAACACACAACAGCAGGCAGAUAGCAAUCUUGCAGCUGCUGCUCUCCUUGCCACUCAGUGAUUAGUGAUUUUCCAUUGUUGCCAGGAUCUCUUUUCUAAUUCCCAAGCUUUUUCCCUCAUUUAGUCUUUUCUGAACCUUUAGUGUCUUCCCCAACUUUUUUUCCAUCCUCUGCCUGUCCACCAGGUUCCUUUCUCAUAUUCAGUACUUGUGAUAGUCAUUUUAACUGUUUUAAUAGACAAUAAAAAUUGUACAAAGACUCUGAUCCAGUAAAGUGACUUGGCAUGCACAUAGCUUUAAGUGCUCUAGUACUGUUGACUCCAACAGGAUUACCAAUAUACUUAAAAUUAACCACACAUUUAAGUACUUUCCUGGAUCAAGGCCAUCAUCACAUUGACAUUGACCAAAACAAAACAGCAUCUGAGAUUCAGCAACAUAAAUACAUAGCAACCUCAACCAAACUCGGUGCUGUAACCUUCAGGUUACCUUUCUUCAGUGCCUUCUGUCAUUGCUAGCUAUGUUAUGGCUACACUUAAAAUCCAUUCUGCAAGCAUAUACUGGAAGCAGUGCUUAGGAACAAUCCUGUUUAAGCCAAUGCUUUCUUAUGGUUUUAGAAUUUGCCUGGCCUGUUUUGCUAGAUCAGGCUCUUGGACGAUAAGGUCCUCAGGGCAAGAAUCAUGUUUAUUUUUCUACCUGAAUCAUAUGUGUUCAUAUACCACAAACUAGCAAUUAGUAACUUUUUGUUCUGAGGUACAAGGAAGAAGACUUUCUACAUACUGCAGAUGUCCUGGCUUGUGCAGUUGUAAGUGAAAAAGUAAGACAGAUAAAAAUGUCAAAAGUCUUAUCACUGGCACUUUACCGUAACCCUAAACAUGCAAAAAAAUGAAAUUAAAACCUUCCCUCUUGAAUUCUGCCCCCUCACCUUCUUUUGCUGACCUUCUGCCUCCAUUACCUUUUCUCUUUUAUUCUCUGUUGAUUACUUCACUGAUUUACACUUCAGUUUAUAAGCCCCAUAUGCUAGAAGCUUUGUCCUUUGCUAAUCAUAAAAUAAGAUUAUGCAUACCUUGGGCACUGUACAAAUCAUUAUUGUCUUCCUACAAAUGUCUUCCACAUGGCCUCACCCUCAGUUCCAGCUGAGAAUGCUGUUGUGAACAAGCUCAAAGAAUAAAUAUUUUGCAUUCAUUUCACUAGCACAAUGGAAACAUUUUUCCAAGCUGCUGCCAAGAUGGUAUCUAGUCCUCUUCUGAGUCAGCAGCCCAUGCAGCUGACUUUCAAACGGCCAUACUUGCUUGAUAGUAAUCUUAAAAGAAAAAAAAAAAAAAAACAAAAAAAAAAACCAGACACAAGCUGUAUUUGUAAAGAGCUGUAUUGCUCUCCUUGUGAACAAGCAGGUAGUGACACUAUAAAAUACGAAAGAUGGGGGAAAGAAGCCAUACAGAAGUGAGUGUUGUUUGUGAUGUCCCAUUUAUUUCUCCUAACUUUAACAGGCUAUUUCAUCCAGUCAGAGGAAGGGACAGGGGAGUGGUGUGAAGAAGUGGGAAAGGAAUAUCACUGCUUUAUGUAGUUAAUUUCCUUUCUGUAUCAACCAGCUUUUUACAUCCUUUAAAGUGCUGUUGGCCAUUAAAGACAGUGUAUGUAAAAAUACAGUGUAGACGAAACCAGGCUAAUAAAGAUGAAGACGGAGAGGAAUUCAUAGAGUUCCCUUCCAUAAGCAUGUUUUUCUUAUUCUUAGCUGUAUUUUCCCUCUGGUCCAAUACAUAAGCAGGCAUGGUGCAACAGAACUUGUUCAAAACUGUGCAUCUCUCCUCCAUUCUCAUGGAAAGACUUUGGUCUGUAAUCCCUACUGCUUUGUGAAUAAACAGCCUAAAUAGUAAAUAUUUUUUGUGUUCCAAAAUUGCCCAGAUAAAACUGGUAAGGAACUGUCACCAAUCCUAUAUUAAGCUGCAGCUUUACAUUAAAUCAGAGAGUAUGUAUCUGGCUUCUAAUGGCUGACAGAGCUCACUCUAAAGUGAAAUUCUGAUCUUCUGGCAAAAUAACAGGAUGUUUAUUAAAUUAACAAGUCUAAAAUUCAGAAAUAAACUGUGCCAUGAGAAAUAAGUUCAACGGGUAAAAACAAGCUGUCAAUCUUAAAGCACCCUUUUACAUCAUAUUACUUAUUCAAAAUAUAUCUAUUUAUAUAGACAGAUGAGGCCAGAUCCUUAGGUUUAGCCUUUUUAUACCGGGACUUAGGGUGAUAAAAGUAACUUAGCUUUAAGCCACUAACUGUCUUCAGGAUGCUGGGGUCAUGAUUUUGGUACCAAUGUGUAUCUUAAAAAAGACUCAGAAAUGCUCUAGUUUUAAUUGCCUUAGCUACUUAUAGCCUUAUGAGAGCUGUCAGAGCAGCUGGGAAUUGAUUGGACUCAGCAUUCUGGCUAUUCAUCCUUCCCACCUAGCCCUUAUCCUUUUGAUCUAGGACUAGGAGGAACAGGAAUUGUAGGACUUAUGCCAUUAAAAUAAAGUAUCCACUGAGUGAAUCCAUAGAUAGUUGAUUAAAUUAUCUCUGUGGCUGCAGAAAAAGCCACAAGCUGACAUAGACACACAUUUCCUUAGGGCAGAAAAAAUCAUCUUUAUGCGUUACAAUUUCUCUGCAUCUUAAGAUUGAUUGCCAUGAAUCUGAACACUGCAACCAGGAUACAAACACAUUAGGAAAUCAGUGUUUCAGAAGGAUGUGACUGGGCAUUUUUUCUCUAGACCAAAUAAGUAGCUUUAAAAAAAAGCAAAUGAACUGGUACAAAAUGGGUAGUAAGAUGUUUGUUGCAUAUUUUAAAUACUAAAAGGGGAGGAAAAUACCAAAUGUGAUACAAAAGAUACAACUAAUAGGGAAAAGGUGAAGUGGGAAAACAGAAUAUUAAUAAAAUGGGAGCUGUAUUUAAAAAGAAAUAGUGUGGUAUAGCUGAAGCUUUCUAUUUUUGUAAUGUUUGGUUCCAGGUGAGUUUAGUGGUUCAUUUCUUGUUUAUAUCUCACGAUCUCACUAUGGACUUUUCAACCACAUGAAAUAAUUCUCCUGUGAGCCUAUAUUCAGUUCAGUGGAGCUACCAUGAUGCUCUGUUAAAGAAGACUGAAAUCAAGUCAGGUGGACUCAAAACAUUUUCUCAUUAAUAUUGUACGUAAUUGUUACAUAGUUCAUCAAAAAGUUAUUAAUUUACUAGGUUUGCAGUGGAUUAGUUACCUGCCAACUGUUGGACAAAUAUAUACCAUUUUUAAAUUAAACACACUUUCACAUGGAUAGCAACAGUUCCAGCAAAGGAGAAACGUUUAAACAACGACAGCUUGUUACAGCCCAUAGGAUCUAUUAGAGAACAGAAUCAUCUCCCAGAAGGAGUGCUGGUAUUAAGGCACUUAAAACUAGCCUGGACACACCACCACUGCAAGAGCUUUCUUCACUGGUAGAUGACAGCCUUUCUGGCUCUAAUUUCUGUCAUCAGUUUACUGUGGUGUAAAUCAAAGCUGAAUCACAGUAAUGUCUUGGCACUCUAAUAUAUUGCCUUAAACCACAUGAAUGCUGAAAUAGGGAGUUCUUGUACAUUUGCAGACUGGAUUCCUUUUUCCCAGCCUGUGCUUUUUUUUUUUUUUUUUUUUUUUUAAGGACAU